GAGUCCAAAUCAAGCAAACCAGUCCCUCCCUCUUUCACACCGGACCUUGAAUUGUGUCCCAACUGACACCAGUUUGAUAGUUUCUUUGAAUUUAUCAAUGUUCAAGAAGCUCGAUAAAUGAUCUUGAAACCUACAAAAACCUUGAGUCAGAAUUUGGUGGAAAGUUAUAUGUAGCAUCAUAUGAUAAUUAGUUUAGAAGUUACUUUAAUGGUAAAAUACUACCUUUUAUUUUUACAUAUUCUAAUUUAUUUUAUCAUGUUAUAAUUUUAUAUCUUGAUUUUCAGGUUUUGAUGUCAAUGGUAUUAUGGAAUCAAAGUGCAAUGUUCUUGUCAUCUUGAUGUGCUUUUUUAUUGGGAUAAUGUGCACAAUGAAGAUUUAUAUUUUUUGCAUGAAGUGUUUUAUUUUUUAUGGCAUUGUUAUUUGUUGUUUCUUUUUAAGCCAUUUUGAAGGCAAUGCUUUGUAAUUUUAAUUUUAAUUUGGUAUGUGUGUUAUUUAAACUUUGAUGCAGGAGAGAAGUCCAAAACACAAA